rfam:Picea glauca, whole genome shotgun sequence.
AACCUUAUCAUUUAGAGGAAGGAGAAGUCGUAACAAGGUUACCGUAGGUGAACCUGCGGUAGGAUCAUUG